CCCAUUUGGUGGAUCCCAGACCCUCGUAGUCAGAGCCCCAGUAGAAGAGACAGGCGUUGAUGUGCAGCGAGUAGAGCAGGAUGAGGAAGAGGAGGGAGAGGAGGAAGAGCGCCUCACCUUCAGCAGGCGGGGGAAGCGCAGCAGGGAGUUCACUCCUGUGAAGUAGUAAAAUAUCUCCAUGGGGAACAGGCUGAUGACGUCCAUCUGGGAACAAACGGAACACGGGUAGAACCAGUGAAACCAGUUAGAGCCGUUCCUGCCGGGUCGGACGCAGGAAGUCUCCGUGUCUCUACGCACCACGAUGUCUCCGCCGCGGACAAACUGCAGCCGCGGCUGGAAGACC